rnacentral:rRNA from 1 species
CAAUAGCGUAUAUUAAAGUUGUUGCGGUUAAAAAGCUCGUAGUUGGAUUUCUGCCGAGGACGACCGGUCCGCCCUCUGGGUGUGUAUCUGGUUUGGCCUGGGCAUCUUCUUGGAGAACGUAGCUGCACUUGACUGUGUGGUGCGGUGUCCAGGACUUUUACUUUGAGGAAAUUAGAGUGUUUCAAGCAGGCACACGCCUUGAAUACAUUAGCAUGGAAUAAUAAGAUAGGACCUCGGUUCUAUUUUGUUGGUUUCUAGAGCUGAGGUAAUGAUUAAUAGGGAUAGUUGGGGGCAUUCGUAUUUAACUGUCAGAGGUGAAAUUCUUGGAUUUGUUAAAGACGGACUACUGCGAUAGCAUUUGCCAAGGAUGUUUUCAUUGA